UUUGCCAGAGCCCUAUCACCCUGCAGCUCUUGCCUGGUUUCCCACUGAAACUAAGCAGGGUUGAGCCUGUCCAGUAUCUGGUUGGGAGGUCCUCCUGGGGAAAACUAAGGUUGCUGCUAGAA
rnacentral:rRNA from 1 species